GCCGGGUGUGGUGGCACACGCCUGUAGUCCCAGCUACUCGGGAGGCUGAGGCAGGAGAAUCACUUGAACCCGGGAGGUGGAGGUUGCAGUGAGCCAAGAUUGUGCCACUGCACUCCAUCCUGGGUGACAGAGUGAGACUCUGCGUCAA
rnacentral:sRNA from 1 species